UAACGCGAAGAACCUUACCAGGUCUUGACAUCUUCUGAUAGCCUAAGAGAUUAGGUGUUCCCUUCGGGGACAGAAUGACAGGUGGUGCAUGGUUGUCGUCAGCUCGUGUCGUGAGAUGUUGGGUUAAGUCCCGCAACGAGCGCAACCCUUAUUGUCAGUUGCCAGCAUUAAGUUGGGCACUCUGGCAAGACUGCCGGUGACAAACCGGAGGAAGGUGGGGAUGACGUCAAAUCAUCAUGCCCCUUAUGACCUGGGCUACACACGUGCUACAAUGGACGAUACAACGAGUCGCUAGACCGCGAGGUUAAGCUAAUCUCUGAAAGUCGUUCUCAGUUCGGAUUGCAGGCUGCAACUCGCCUGCAUGAAGUCGGAAUCGCUAGUAAUCGCGGAUCAGC
rnacentral:rRNA from 1 species